rnacentral:rRNA from 1 species
UACGUAGGGUGCAAGCGUUGUCCGGAAUUACUGGGCGUAAAGCGCGUGUAGGCGGGGCGGUAAGUCGGACGUGAAAGGCUCGGGCUCAACCCGAGAAGGCCGUUCGAAACUGCCGUUCUUGAGGGUCGAAGAGGAGAGUGGAAUUCCUGGUGUAGCGGUGAAAUGCGUAGAGAUCAGGGGGAACACCCGUGGCGAAGGCGGCUCUCUGGGCAGUAACUGACGCUGAGGAGCGAAAGCGUGGGGAGCGAACAGG